GAUAAACGCUGGCGGCGUGCAUGAGACAUGCAAGUCGAACGGACGAUCGAGGCUUGCUUCGAUCGUUAGUGGCGGACGGCUGAGUAACGCGUAGGUGACCUGCCCCGAAGUGGGGAAUAACUGCCCGAAAGGGUGGCUAAUACCGCAUGUGGUGGUGUGUUCAAUCACACCAGUAAAGCCGCAAGGCGCUUCGGGAGGGGCCUGCGUCCGAUUAGCUCGUUGGUGGGGUAACGGCCCACCAAGGCGAUGACGGGUAGCUGGUCUGAGAGGAUGGCCAGCCACAUUGGGACUGAGAGACGGCCCAGACUCCUACGGGAGGCAGCAGUGGGGAAUCUUGCGCAAUGGCCGAAAGGCUGACGCAGCGACGCCGCGUGGAGGAUGACGCCUC
rnacentral:rRNA from 1 species